rnacentral:rRNA from 1 species
GACGAACGCUGGCGGCGUGCUUAACACAUGCAAGUCGAACGGAAAGGCCCUGCUUUUGUGGGGUGCUCGAGUGGCGAACGGGUGAGUAACACGUGAGUAACCUGCCCUUGACUUUGGGAUAACUUCAGGAAACUGGGGCUAAUACCGGAUAGGAGCUCCUGCUGCAUGGUGGGGGUUGGAAAGUUUCGGCGGUUGUGGAUGGACUCGCGGCUUAUCAGCUUGUUGGUGGGGUAGUGGCUUACCAAGGCUUUGACGGGUAGCCGGCCUGAGAGGGUGACCGGCCACAUUGGGACUGAGAUACGGCCCAGACUCCUACGGGAGGCAGCAGUGGGGAAUAUUGCGCAAUGGGCGGAAGCCUGAUGCAGCAACGCCGCGUGCGGGAUGACGGCCUUCGGGUUGUAAACCGCUUUCGCCUGUGACGAAGCGUGAGUGACGGUAAUGGGUAAAGAAGCACCGGCUAACUACGUG